rnacentral:tRNA from 1 species
GGGUAGCUCAGUCGGUAGAGCAACGCACUCGUAAUGCGUAGGUCGUCGGUUCGAUUCCGAUCCC